UGUGUGUGUGUGUGUGUGUGUGUGUGCUAAUGCAAAACUUGCUUUAACUCACCUCAGUUAGUCAGUUAUCUCUUGAUAACAGUAUCACACUGCAGCACAGCAGUUACCCCUCCCUUACAAAAUAACUUGAUACCAUUACCUUCAUUAUCAAACAGAAAAGGAAUAUAAUGCUGCCACAUUUACACUGAAUGCAAUUGUGACACACUCUAUAUUUUCCCUCGCCACGAGUCCUCUAGCGGGAGUGAUGGGUGACCCGCCACACACAAAACCACUUCCUGUGGCUGAGGGCCCAGCUGGUAGCCUGAGGAAGGGUAAUUAUACAGAGCACGGUGAAUUGAGACUGAUUAUGGAAGCGUCUGUCACAGACCAGAGGAACAGGCAUGGAGAUCUGAGGAAAAAGAGCAUGCAGCACUACUGGACCGAAGCUUGAAGAGGGGUCAGACAGAGCGGGGGUAGCGCCACUUCGGACAGCACGGGGUGCCCUGCCUCUCUCACCUGGCCAGACCCACUGGCUCUCUACGGACCCCUGCUGCCCCUGCUACCUGGAUACAGACCAGACAUAGCAGCUUCUUCAACAAGCCUUAUGCAUGUCCAUACCAUAACCCCAUCGCCACCAUGGGGCACUCUGUUCACAACGUUGACAUCAGUAGACUGCUCGCCCACACACACUGUCUGCCAUCUGCCCAGUACAGUUGAAACAGGGAUUCUUCCGUGAUGAGUACACUUCUCCAGCGUGCCAGUGGCCAUUGAAGGUUUAUCAGCUGUCCGGGUGGCUGGUCUCAGACAAUCCUGCAGGUGAAGAAGCGGGAUGUGGAGGUCCUGGGCUGGCGUGGUUACACGUGGUAUGCUGUUGUGAGGCCGGUUGGACGUACUUCUGA
ensembl:lncRNA